rnacentral:rRNA from 1 species
AUGGACGUCGUGUGUAUAGCGGCGCUCAAAGCCCAAUCGCGUUCGCAUCUCCCACGCGGCCACGCCGACGGCCGAAGCGCGCCGCCAUGCCCCGGCCUGGUCGGCGUACGCUCACCCCCGGCGAUUCAAACCCGGCGUACGGCAUCCGCCGCAUGCGCAAGCCCUAAGUGCGCCGGUGGCAGCCAGCGCGGCGCCCGGUGCGCCGCCGCCGGGCACCCCUUCCCCUCUUUGCCGCCUUGCGGUGGGGGGAUGUUUUUGGAUUGGUUAAAUGAUUUCUCAUUCCAUGCCAUUUUCCACGCUGUGAGAAGAUCACGCGCACCAACUGCAGAGGAAUUACAAGGCAAGCCACACCUCUCCUCGUUUUACGGAUUUGAUCUUGGUUUGCAAAUGGAUUACCAAGGGGGCAAUGUUAGGGAUUUUCUUCAUGCUAAUGGACAUGUGGUGCUUGAAAGAGUGGAUAACAACUAUAAUCUAAGAUCUUUCACUCAAGAAGAGAUAGAAGACAUCACCAGUGGGUAUAGCACCGUGUUGGGAGAAGGGGGAUUUGGUACGGUAUACAAAGGAAAGUUAGAUGAUCUUCAUCCAGUCGAAGUAAAGAGAUACAAAAAUGGAACCAAGAAAGAAGAGUUUGCCAAAGAGGUUAUAGUGCAUUCCCAGAUAAAUCACAAGAAUGCUGUCAGACUAUUUGGUUGCUGCACGGAGGUAAAUGCUCUUACGAUUGUUAUGGAGUUUGUAUGCAAUGGCAACCUCUACAACAUCCUUCACCGCAGCAGCAGCAAUGCUAAUGGUACUGCCCCCUUCCCUUUGGACAAACGUUUGGACAUCGCCAUUGAGUCAGCUGAAGUAUUAUCAUGCAUGCACUCAAUGUAUAGUCCUGUUCUUCAUGGAGACAUCAAACCCGCUAAUAUACUGCUAGAUGAAAAUCUUCGGCCAAAGAUAUCAGAUUUUGGGAUAGCAAGAUUGCUUGCUGCUGACGAGACUCAGCAUACCAGAUAUGUCAUUGGUUGCAUAGGUUACAUAGACCCUUUGUUCUGUCAGAGUGGGAUUCUAACUCCCAAGAGUGAUGUAUACAGUUUUGGAGUUGUUCUGCUUGAAAUCAUCACCCGAAAGAAAGCUGUGGAUGGUAAAAUCAUCCUUGCUCAAAGUUUUGCCGAAGCCCUGAGAAAAGGGAAAAAGGUGAGGCAAAUGUUUGAUCAGGAAAUAGCGGAUGAUAAAAAGAAUAUGAAAUUUCUUGAAGAUGUCGCAAAACUAGCAGCUGAAUGCUUGCAAAUGGAGGACAAAAUGCGUCCAGAAAUGGUUGAAGUAGCAGACAGACUUAGGACAAUUAAGAAAGCUUAUCACCAGCGUAAGGGCAGGAAUCCUACAGGUAGCAGCUCUGGACUUGCUAAAAGUGGAAAGGCAGAGGAUAUGCUUUCCCCUACACCUAUUACCACUGCUACUAUCAACAACACUGGCAAAAUUCCACCAACUGUGCUUUCCCCUACACCUAUUUCCAUAGAUGAACUGAAGGAAAUAACCAAAAAAUUUAGCAAUGAUGCUCUAAUAGGAGAGGGCUUCGACGGUGAAGUUUUUUUCGGAGUGCUGAAAGAUGGACAUAAAUCCGCGAUCAAGAAGCUUAGGCCUAUUAAAGAAAUUAUUUUUGAGGUUCCAGUGGUCUCAAGAUUCAAACAUGAGAAUAUUAUCCAGCUUCUCGGAUACUGUGUUGAAGGAGACAACCGUUUUCUUGCGUACGAGUAUGCAUCCAGGGGAUCCUUGCACGAUAUUCUUUAUGGUAAAAGGAAUGUUAGGGGAGCCGAACCAGGACUGGUUCUAUCAUGGGCGCAACGCGUGAAGAUUGCCCUGGAUGCUGCAACUGGGCUUGAGUUCCUCCAUGAGAAAGCACAGCCUUGCGUUAUACACUGCAUCAAGUCCAGCAACAUAUUUCUCUUUGACAGCGACGUUGCAAAAAUUGGUUCUCCUGUUGUUUCCAGACAGGCACCUGACUACAUAGAUAAUACUAUUCUUGUGGAUGGUGUUUAUUAUCCUUGCAGUUCCGGUUAUGAUGCUUAUGGGUAUGUAACGCAGAGACAAUAUUAUACAAAGAGUGAUGAUGUCUACCGCUUCGGGGUCGUGCUGCUGGAACUUUUAACUGGUCGAAAGGCAGUUGAUCGUACACUACUACCCCGUGACCAAUACCUUGUGGAAUGGUUUGAAAGAAUGCUUAAUGAAUGCAAGGUGCAGCAAUACGUGGAUCAGAGGCUUGGAGGAGAUUACCCUCCGAAGGCUGUCGCCGAGAUAGCUGCAAUCGCGACGCUCUGUACACAGAACAACAAGGACUACCGGCCACAAAUUAGCUUCGUCGUCAAGGUUCUGAGGAAUCUUUCCUCCGGUGCUGGGGCAUCGGGAGUGGCACUGAAAUAG